rnacentral:rRNA from 1 species
AGCGAACGCUGGCGGCAGGCUUAACACAUGCAAGUCGAACGGACCUUUCGGGGUUAGUGGCGGACGGGUGAGUACCACGUGGGAACGUGCCCUUAGGUUAGGAAUCACUCAGGGAGACUUAUGUUAAUACCGCAUGUGCCCUUAGGGGGUAAGAUUAAUGGCUUUUUGAGGGGCCUGCGUCAGGUUCGGUAGUUGGUUGAGGUAAUGGCUCACCAAGGCGACGAUCAGGAGCUGGUCGGAGAGGAGGAUCAGCUACAUUGGAACUGAGACACGGCCCCAACUGCGACGGAAGGCAGCAGUAGAGAAUACUGCGCAAUGGACGAAAGCGUGACGCAGCCAUGCCGGGGAAAUGAGGAAGGGCUUAGGAUAGUAAAAUUCUUUCACCCGGGACGAGAAUGACGGUACCCGGAGAAGAAGCCCCGGCUAACUACGUG